rnacentral:misc_RNA from 1 species
UAACUAGGCUAUUGGACACUUUCUACCAAAUCCGAGCUGCAAGGGUCUGCUCCUGUGCUCUCUGGAUCAUUGGAGAGUACUGCCUGUCUCUUUCUGAAGUUCAGAAUGGCAUAGCUAUCAUCAAGCAGUGCCUUGGGGAGUUGCCUUUUUAUUCUGUUUCAGAAGAAGGGGAGGCACCUGAUGCUUCAAAGAAGCCUCCACAGGCAAAUUCCAUUACUGUUUCUUCCAGGAGACCAGCUAUUCUUGCUGAUGGGACAUAUGCUACACAGAGCGCUGCCUCUGAAACUGCAUUUUCUCCUCCUACCAUUGUUCAGGGGACACUGGCUUCAGGGAAUUUGAGAUCCCUUCUCCUCACUGGUGAUUUUUUCCUUGGAGCAGUUGUGGCAUGCACUCUGACAAAGCUCGUUUUGAGAUUGGAAGAGGUGCAGCCUUCUAAAAUCGAGGUGAACAAGGCAUCCGCGCAGGCAUUGUUGAUCAUGGUUUCUAUGCUACNNNNNCAAUCUUCAGUUUUGCCACACCCAAUUGAUAAUGAUUCUUAUGAUAGGAUCCUCCUUUGUAUAAGAUUACUAUGCAAUACUGGUGAUGACAUCAGAAAGAUAUGGUUGCAAUCUUGCCGUCAGAGUUUUGUCAAAAUGCUUUCAGAAAAACAAUUGAGGGAAACUGAGGAAUUAAAGGCAAAAGCUCAGGUUUCUCAUGCACAACCGGAUGACCUGAUUGAUUUCUACCAUUUGAA